rnacentral:rRNA from 1 species
AUUGAACGCUGGCGGCAGGCCUAACACAUGCAAGUCGAGCGACCGGCGGACGGGUAAGUAAUGCCUGGGCGUUGCCCAGUCGAGGUGAAUAACAGUUGAAAACGACUGCUACUACCGCAUACGAUUGGAUUGCCCAGGUGUGAUUAGCUAGUUGGUGAGGUAAUGGCUCACCAAGGCGACGAUCCCUAGCUGGUCUGAGAGGAGGAUCAGCCACACUGGAACUGAGAAACGGCCCAGACUCCUACGGGAGGCAGCAGUGGGGAAUAUUGCACAAUGGGGGAAAGCCUGAUGCAGCCAUGCCGCGUGUGUGAAGAAGGCCUUCGGGUUGUAAAGCACUUUCAGCGGGGAGGCGUUACUCGCAGAAGAAGCACCGGCUAACUCCGUGCCAGCAGCCGCGGUAAUAC